GACGUAGGGCGCAAGCGUUGUCCGGAUUUAUUGGGCGUAAAGAGCUCGUAGGCGGCUUGUCGCGUCGACUGUGAAAACCUGAGGCUCAACCUCAGGCCUGCAGUCGAUACGAGCAGACUAGAGUGUUGCAGGGGAGACUGGAAUUCCUGGUGUAGCGGUGAAAUGCGCAGAUAUCAGGAGGAACACCGGUGGCGAAGGCGGGUCUCUGGGCAACAACUGACGCUGAGGAGCGAAAGCUAGGGGAGCGAACGGG
rnacentral:rRNA from 1 species